ensembl:snRNA U2 U2 spliceosomal RNA
AUCGCUUCUCGGCCUUUUGGCUAAGAUCAAGUGUAUUAAGAUUUGGGGAAAAUUCUAAGAGAUGGUUUUUAUCCUCAGGAUUUGAGAAAGGGGGGUAACAAAAGACCCCACUUAAAGAUGAAACAGGGUCAUUUUUCCCCAGUGAAGGAUUGAGUGCUGAGCGUUCUCUCAAGAACAGCAAGGCGUA